rnacentral:lncRNA from 1 species
GAAAAUGGCUGUCCUUGCUAGGAAAAUGGCUGUGUUGUUGUUUUUUUGCUAUCCUAACAUAAUCUAAUGUUUUGCUUUCGCUGUAAAGCCUUUUUGAAAUCGGACAACAUGGUUGGAUUCAGGAGAGGUUUAUGUUUCAAAUGGUGUAAAAUAGUCGUAUGUUUGAGAAUUGAAUUGUGGUAUUUUAGUUGUUUUUGUAUUUCACGCCAUGCGAUCCCAUUGGCUGUUGGCUAGGGUUCCGCUGGCGGCUAGAUGUAAGAGGUUUUAAGAUAUAAGGGGGAUCAUAGCUAUAUUCAAUAAAAUGUACAAGUUGAUGUAAAACCUGUGUUUAACACUUUAUCAUGGUUGGUGUCUUGACAGAUUUGUCUAAAAUGUGUGGCAUAAAAAAAUUCUGUCCUUGCAUUUAUGGCAGUGUAAGUUGUUGUUAUGUCAUAUAUUAAGCAUUAAUCAGUUAAAUUAGACAUUGAACUUUAACCCUGUAAGAAUCCUGUAUCUAGCUGUCGGACAGUUUUUGGUAUAGAGCUCAGAAAUACAUUGUAGCUAUGUAACAUAUUGUGUCUCCUUAUAUUACAUGGUGAAAACCGUUUUUAUGGGCACACGAAUCCAAAUAAUAAAUGCAAUUGAGAAAUCAAAUACUUCUAACCAAAAAAGUCACUUUACCUUGAUAGAUAAAACCUAAAUCGAUACUGUGAUUAACGUGGUUCUUCAAUAAUUAUGCAUAAUACUUAUUGAAUGCGUGUUGGGUGUCCAGCUGAUUAGUUACGCCAUGACAUUUUCACACAUCAUCAUCUGAUCCAAGAAGGAAUUUUCCGAAUGACAGCCAAGUGAGGAACAGCUGUUGUGAUGGCGCAUGCAAUGCAACAACAGCCCAAAAGAGGACCUGAGCACUUGGACCAUGCCUCAGGACUACCUGGCCUGAUUACUCCUUGCUGUCCCCAGUCCACCUGGUCGUGCUGCUGCUCUAGUUUCAAUUGUUCUACCUGCGGCUAUGGAACCUUGACCUGUUCACCCGACGUGCUACCUUGUCCCAGACCUGCUGUUUUCAACUUUCUAGAGACAGCAGGUGCGGUAGAGAUACUCUGAAUGAUCGGCUAUGAAAAGCCAACUGAUAUUUACUCCUGAGGUGCUGACCUUUUUCACCCUCUCCAACCACUGUGAUUAUUAUUAUCUGACCCUACUGGUCAUCUAUGAACAUUUGAACAUCUUGGCAAUGUUCUGUUAUGAUCUCCACCUGGCACAGCCAGAAGAGGACUGGCCACCCCUCAUAGCCUGGUUCCUCUCUAGGUUUCUUCCUAGGUUCCGGCCUUUCUAGGGAGUUUUUCCUAGCCACCAUGCUUCAACACCUGCAUUGCUUGCUGUUUGGGGUUUUAGGCUGGGUUUCUGUACAGCACUUUGUGACAUCAGCUGAUGUAAGACAAGCUUUAUAAAUACCUUUGAUUGAUUACAGCCUCAAGUCUUCUUGGGUAUGACGCUACAAGCUUGGCAAUGAUGCUACAAGCUUGGCACACCUGUAUUUGGGGAGUUUCUCUCAUCCUUCUUUGCAGAUCCUCUCAAGCUCUGUCAGGUUGGAUGGAGAGCGUUGCUGCACAGCUAUUUUCAGGUCUCUCCAGAGAUUUUUGAUCAGGUUUAAGUCCGGGUUUUGGCUGGGCCACUCAAGGACAUUCAGAGACUUGUCCCGAAGCCACUCCUGCGUUGUCCUGGCUAUGUGCUUAGGGUCGUGGUCCUGUUGGAAGGUGAACCUUUGCCACAGUCUGAGGUCCUGAGCGCUCUGGAGCAGGUUUUCAUCAAGGAUCUCUCUGUACUUUGCUCCGUUCAUCUUUCCGUCGAUCCUGUCUAGUCUCCCAGUCCCUGCUACUGAAAAACAUCCCCACAGCAUGAUGCUGCCACCACCUUGCUUCACCGUAGGGAUGGUGCCAGUUUUCCUCCAGAUGUGACGCUUGGUAUUCAGGCAGAAGAGUUCAAUCUCAAAUCUCAAUAGCAAUUGAGACGGCUCAGACAUGAGACAUACGUGGCAGGGUCUACAGGCAAUCACGGACUACAAGAAGAAAACCAGCCACGUCACGGACACCGACGUCUUGCUUCCAGACAAACUAUACAACUUCUUUGCCCACUUUGGGAUAAUACAGUGCCACCAAUGCGGCCCGCUACCAAGGACUGCGGGGCCUCCCUCUCCUUCUCCGUGGCAGACCUGAGUAAGACAUUUAAACGUGUUAGCCCUUGCAAGGCUGCCGGCCCAGAUGGCAUCCCUAGCCGCGUCCUCAGAGCAUGAACAGACCAGCUGGCAGGUGUGUUUACAGACAUAUUCAAUCUCUCCCUAUCCCAGUUUGCUGCCCCAUAUGCUUCAAGAUGGCCACCAUUGUUCCUGUACCCAAGAAGGCAAAGGUAACUGAACUAAAUGACUAUCACCCCGUAGCACUCCCUUCUGUCAUCAUGAAGUGCUUUGAGAGUCGAGUCAACGAUCAUAUCACCUCCACCUUACCUGCCACCCUAGACCCACUUCAAUUUGCAUACCGCCCCAAUAGGUCUACAGACAAUGCAAUCGCCAUCACACUGCACACUGCCCUAUCCCAUAUGGACAAGAGGAAUACUUACGUAAGAAUGCUGUUCAUUGACUACAGCUCAGCAUUGAACACCAUAGUACCCUCCAAGCUCAUCAUUAAGCUUGAGGCCCUGGGUCUCAACCCCGCCCUGUGCAAUUGGGUCCUGGAUUUCCUGACAGGCCAACCCCAGGUGGUGAAGGUAAGAAACAACAUCUCCACUUCACUGAUCCUCAACUCUGGGGUUGAGCCCCCUCCUGUACUCCCUGUUCAAAGCUGGGACUGAGAGACUGAAAAACAGCUUCUAUCUCAAGGCCAUCAGACUCAAGGCCAUCACUAACACAGAGGCUGCUGCCUACAUACAGACUUGAAAUCAUUGGCCACUUUAAUAAAUGGAUCACUAGUCA